UCGAGAGGCUUCCGCAAUGGGGGAAACCCUGACGGAGCGACGCCGCGUGGGUGAGGAAGGUCUUCGGAUCGUAAAACCCUGUCAGGAGGGACGAAAACCGGAUUGGCUAAUACCCUUUCCGCUUGACGGUACCUCCAGAGGAAGCUCCGGCUAACUCCGUGCCAGCAGCCGCGGUAACACGGAGGGAGCAAACGUUGUUCGGAAUUACUGGGCGUAAAGGGCGUGUAGGCGGUUCUCUAAGUCGGGGGUGAAAUCCAGUGGCUCAACCAUUGGCCUGCCUUCGAAACUGGGGAACUUGAGGCCGUGAGAGGAAAGCGGAAUUCCUGGUGUAUCGGUGAAAUGAGUUGAUAUCAGGAGGAACACCAGUGGCGAAGGCGGCUUUCUGGCGCGGUUCUGACGCUGAGGCGCGAAAGCAUGGGGAGCAAACGGG
rnacentral:rRNA from 1 species